rnacentral:rRNA from 1 species
GUCUACGGCCAUGCUAUCCUGAAGAAGCUCAAUCCUGUCUGAUCUCAGACCAGGAUCGGGCCUGGUUAGUACUUGGAUGGGAGGCCACCAAAGAAGACCAGGUGCUGUAGGUG